AUUAGAUACCCCCGUAGUCCAGGGUGUAAACGCUGCAGACUUGGUGUUUGGGAAGUCCUUUGGGGGCAUUCAGUGCCGGAGAGAAGUUGUUAAGUCUGCUACUUGGGGAGUACGUCCGCAAGGAUGAAACUUAAAGGAAUUGGCGGGGAGCACCACAACGGGUGGAGCCUGCGGUUUAAUUGGACUCAACGCCGGAAAUCUCACCGGAUAGGACAGACAUAUGAUAGUCGGGCUGAAGACUCUACUUGAUGAUCUG
rnacentral:rRNA from 1 species